rnacentral:rRNA from 1 species
CUGUCUCCCUCUGAUGAGACAAGCCUUUCCUGAACUCUUGACCUCAAAUCAGGUAGGAUUACCCGCUGAACUUAAGCAUAUCAAUAAGCGGAGGAAAAGAAACUAACAAGGAUUCCCCUAGUAACUGCGAGUGAAGCGGGAAAAGCUCAAAUUUAAAAUCUGGCAGUCUUUGGCUGUCCGAGUUGUAGUCUGGAGAAGUGCUUUCUGUGCUGGACCGUGUACAAGUCUCCUGGAACGGAGCGUCAUAGAGGGUGAGAAUCCCGUCUUUGACACGGACUCCCAGUGCUGUGUGAUGCGCUCUCAAAGAGUCGAGUUGUUUGGGAAUGCAGCUCUAAAUGGGUGGUGAAUUCCAUCUAAAGCUAAAUAUUGGCGAGAGACCGAUAGCGAACAAGUACCGUGAGGGAAAGAUGAAAAGCACUUUGGAAAGAGAGUUAAACAGUACGUGAAAUUGUUGAAAGGGAAACGCUUGAAGUCAGUCGCGUCGUCCAGGACUCGGCCUUGCACCCACGCUUGGUUUACUUCCUGCUCGACGGGCCAGCAUCAGUUUUGGCUGCCGGACAAUGGCCAGAGAAAUGUGGCACCCUCGGGUGUGUUAUAGUCUCUGGUCGGAUACGGUGGCUGGGACUGAGGACCGCGGCGCUCGCGC